rnacentral:lncRNA from 1 species
AAGUUUAAAAGGGUCCUCGAGGAGUUCGUACAGGGAAGCUCAAACUGCGAAAUUUGGGGCACCUAUUCUAUUCCUUUUUAUCCGUUUUUGUAUCUCAAACAAUGUAUGCUUUCUUUGUUGAUACAUCUUUCGCAAAUUUUGACUCGAAUAAAUUUCAGUUCUACCUAUCAUUAUAAUCUUUUUCGAGUAUUUUUAUUAAAAUAAUGAUUAAUAAACUAAUGAUGCUCUUAGAAGAAGGUUUUGCAUAUUACUCUGAAAGGUUUCUAAACAGUACGAGAACCUGAGACAGGACAAUUAUUUAGAACUCACCGAGCUUAAAACGUGUGAGAAAUAAGGAAUUAACCGCAUCUCCAAGUCCUCUUCUACCAAGCUGAACAAGAAGGCAUAUGUCAGGGAUGUUACCUUAGUAAACAACGAGCGAUGACAGCCCAAAAAUUAAAAUGGAUCAUUCUCAUGACAUUUUGCAUUUUGUGCAUUUAACAUCCAUAAUACAUGUAGUUAGGAGCAUUUAAUUCAUAUUAAUCAUGGCAUCCUAAUCAUCUAGCAUAAGCAUAUCACUCUUCUACAGAUGGAUUCCUUAGUGGACAAUGUAGCAGGAUUACAGAUAUCAUCAGCCUUAUCUUCACUGAGCAGGAGUGGAGCAGGCUAUAUACUAGAUAUUAUCUUCGCUGAGCAGGAGCGGAGCAGAUCAAAUUUUGGUGAAUCUUAUCUCCAUGUAUCGGCAAUGGAGCAGAUUUCAGCCACCAGCCUUAUCUUCACUGAGCAGGAGUGGAGCAGGCUAAAUACCAGAUCUUAUCUUCACUGAGCAGAAAUGAAGCAGAUCAAAUUUUGGCAAGUCUUAUCUCCAUAUAUCGGCAAUGGAGCAGAUUUCAGCCACCAGCCUUAUCUUCACUGAGCAGGAGUGGAGCAGGCUAUAUACUAGAUCUUAUCUUCGCUGAGCAGGAGCGGAGCAGAUCAAAUUUUGGUGAAUCUUAUCUCUAUAUAUCUGCAAUGGAGCAGAUUUCAGUCACCAGCCUUAUCUUCAUUAAGCAGGAGUGGAGCAGGCUAAACAUACCGGAUCUUAUCUUUACUGAGCAGGAGUAAAGCAGAUCAAAUUACAGCAGAUCACAUCUCCGUGAAGCAGCAACGGAGCGUUUUGAAGUAAUAAGGUACGGUGGGUUGUGGCAAUGAAGACAAGACUCAGCCAGCCCAGACAAAUUUGGCUCUUCUAAAAUCUUUGCUCUAUCCUCGUUACAUGAUAAUGAGCAAAGAAGGGCAGCUGUAGGACCAAAUUUAUGCCCGGGCCCAAAGCUCCCAAGACCCAUUUACAUCUAAAACACAGGCCCAAAAAUAAACCCAAACAAGGCCCAAACAAACAGAAACCUAAAGCUGUUGCUUGAGCCCUCGCGUCGCACGCCUCUCACCAGCGUCCCACUCCACCAUCCACCGUACCUUCGAGACGUGCGCUACCAACAAUCCCUCUUUGUCACGCCUCGUGCUUCCGAGAUAUCCACAACAACACCUGUAACAGGAAGCAAACAGAUAGCAACCAAUAGAAGAUUUUAUUUGUUUUUCUAGGCUAUAAAAGCCAUUCUAAACAAUGUAAAAGGGUCGGUUUUUUUUACUACAAAAAUCAGAGAGAAAUAUACGAAAACAGCAAGUUUUGAGUAAAAACUUUCAUACAUUCGAAUAGAAUAAAGUGGUUACAAUAUUUUCUUUUAGUUUUUUAAUCUUUAGAGCUUUUUGUGGAUCUAUCUUGUAUUUUUGAAAAACAAAGUUUAAAAAAAUAAAAAUAUUUUAGGAGGGCCUUACCUGGUUUCUGACGGUCGCCGAUGAGCGCGCAGGGGAGGGGAAGCGCUGCGAUGAUAGACGCUGCGCCCUAGCAGAAGGAGAAAGGGGGCCGAACCCCUUGGUUUUCUUUUUUGAAUUCGGCAGAAUGGGAUUAAAGAAAUGGGGGGGGGGGGGUUCUUU